UACAUAAAAGCUCCGGCGGUACAGGAUGGACCCGCGUCUGAUUAGCUAGUUGGUGAGGUAAUGGCUCACCAAGGCGACGAUCAGUAGCCGACCUGAGAGGGUGAUCGGCCACAUUGGAACUGAGACACGGUCCAAACUCCUACGGGAGGCAGCAGUGGGGAAUAUUGCACAAGGGGCGAAAGCCUGAUGCAGCAACGCCGCGGAGCUGUAAAGGGCCUUCGGGUCGUAAAGCUCUGUCCUCAAGGAAGAUAAUGA
rnacentral:rRNA from 1 species